GAUGAACCGCGUGGCGGCGUGCAUAACACAUUCAAGUCGAACGAAGUUAAAGUGCGUAGCAAUACAAGUUUAACUUAGUGGCCGACGGGUGAGUAUCGCGUGAGCAACCUGCCUUUGUGAGGGGGAUAACGUUUGGAAACGAACGCUAAUACCGCAUGAAGCAUAAGAGAUCGCAUGGUCUUAAUGUCAAAGAUUUAUCGCACAAAGAUGGGCUCGCGUCUGAUUAGAUAGUUGGUGGGGUAACGGCCUACCAAGUCGACGAUCAGUAGCCGGACCGAGAGGUUGAACGGCCACAUUGGAACUGAGAUACGGUCCAG
rnacentral:rRNA from 1 species